UCGAACGAACUCUGGUAUUGAUUGGUGCUUGCAUCAUGAUUUACAUUUGAGUGAGUGGCGAACUGGUGAGUAACACGUGGGAAACCUGCCCRGAAGMGGGGGAUAACACCUGGAAACAGAUGCUAAUACCGCAUAACAACUUGGACCGCAUGGUCCGAGUUUGAAAGAUGGCUUCGGCUAUCACUUYUGGAUGGUCCCGCGGCGUAUUAGCUAGAUGGUGAGGUAACGGCUCACCAUGGCAAUGAUACGUAGCCGACCUGAGAGGGUAAUCGGCCACAUUGGGACUGAGACACGGCCCAAACUCCUACGGGAGGCAGCAGUAGGGAAUCUUCCACAAUGGACGAAAGUCUGAUGGAGCAACGCCGCGUGAGUGAAGAAGGGUUUCGGCUCGUAAAACUCUGUUGUUAAAGAAGAACAUAUCUGAGAGUAACUGUUCAGGUAUUGACGGUAUUUAACCAGAAAGCCACGGCUAACUACGUGCCAGCMGCCGCGGUAAU
rnacentral:rRNA from 2 species